UUCAGAUAAACAUCAAGAACAGGAAGGAAGUUGAGGAACUUUGCUUAGGGUUUGUAGCACUCAAAGAGGAACAGGUUGAGCCAGCCGGGUCACGGCGGCUGGGGUUUAAUCCUAUUACAACUCUAGAUGCCUCUACCGAUCUCCAAAUCCUGGCUUUAUAGCAAUUACAAAACAGAAAGUGAACUGAAAGGUGAAGUUGUUGGACGAUCAACAGCGAUCCUUGACGCGACGGCUGCUGUCCGAUGAAAGAUCAACAUCUCUCAGCAGCUGCCUCUGGCGCGAAUCGAUAAGUGGAGGCCAGCAUCGUUGGAUGUGAUUCAGACGGUGGAGUUUGAAUCAACAGCUGAAGCGAUAACCUGCAGUUAACUGAAGAUGGUUGUUGUCGAUCUUCAGAUAAGGGGCCUGACAGAUAACGCACGAUGUUUUCACUAGGGACGAGUCUGGGAUGUGUAUGCUUCAUGCAAUCAGGCAGUAAGAUGGGGAUAAGAUGAUGUGGUCAUUGACGAAAGCUUCAUAGUCUGUUUAACUUUCUUACUUCUUUCAUAAAAUUGUUGGAUGAGAAUUUCAGCAGCCAGAGCUUGGAUGCUAUUUUGGCUCUGAAAUCUGCAGAAAAACUUGGCCACUUCUCAGCAAAUAGCUGUUUUUGAGGUAUUUCGUUUGCAUGAUGAGCACGGAAAUUGUGGCUGACAAUGCGUUACGGGCUGCUCUAGAAGACAAUGAGGAAUGAGUGUUAUCGUCAAUGCUUAUGUAGUGUGCAAUUUGUUCAUCACCUUGUGAGGGUUUGGACGGUAUGUUUAGUGAUCUAAACGCUCUUAUAUUUCUUUAUGGAGGGAGUACUUUUUAUUAGGAUGGAACUAGCAAGUACGUGGAUCUUCUAAAUGAUUUGUUAGCUAUAUUGUGUAUGAAGAGUAAUGCACUCAAAUGCUGAUCGACGAA